rnacentral:rRNA from 1 species
GGCGAACGCUGGCGGCGUGCCUAAUACAUGCAAGUCGAGCGGAUGAAAGAGGAGCUUGCUCCUCUAGAUUCAGCGGCGGACGGGUGAGUAACACGUAAAGAACCUGCCCUCAGGUCUGGGAUAACCACGAGAAAUCGGGGCUAAUACCGGAUGGGUCAUCGGACCGCAUGGUCCGAGGAUGAAAGGCGCUCCGGCGUCGCCUGGGGAUGGCUUUGCGGUGCAUUAGCUAGUUGGUGGGGUAAUGGCCCAUCAAGGCGACGAUGCAUAGCCGACCUGAGAGGGUGAUCGGCCACACUGGGACUGAGACACGGCCCAGACUCCUACGGGAGGCAGCAGUAGGGAAUCUUCCACAAUGGACGAAAGUCUGAUGGAGCAACGCCGCGUGAACGAUGAAGGCCUUCGGGUCGUAAAGUUCUGUUGUAAGGGAAGAACAAGUGCCGCAGGCAAUGGCGGCACCUUGACGGUACCUUGCGAGAAAGCCACGGCUAACUACGUGCCAGCAGCCGCAGUAAAAC